AGUGAACGCUGGCGGUAGGCCUAACACAUGCAAGUCGAACGGCUACACAGGAGAGCUUGCUCUCUGGGUGGCGAGUGGCGGACGGGUGAGGAAUACAUCGGAAUCUACUCUGUCGUGGGGGAUAACGUAGGGAAACUUACGCUAAUACCGCAUACGACCUACGGGUGAAAGCAGGGGAUCUUCGGACCUUGCGCGAUUGAAUGAGCCGAUGUCGGAUUAGCUAGUUGGCGGGGUAAAGGCCCACCAAGGCGACGAUCCGUAGCUGGUCUGAGAGGAUGAUCAGCCACACUGGAACUGAGACACGGUCCAGACUCCUACGGGAGGCAGCAGUGGGGAAUAUUGGACAAUGGGCGCAAGCCUGAUCCAGCCAUACCGCGUGGGUGAAGAAGGCCUUCGGGUUGUAAAGCCCUUUUGUUGGGAAAGAAAUCCAGCUGGCUAAUACCCGGUUGGGAUGACGGUACCCAAAGAAUAAGCACCGGCUAACUUCGUGCCAGCAGCCGCCGUAA
rnacentral:rRNA from 1 species